GAGUGUGAUCAUACCAACACUAAUGCACCGGAUCGAAUCAGAACUCCGCAGUUAAGUGUGCUUGGAGCAGAGUAGUACAUGGAUGGGUGACCUUCUAGUAAGUCCUCGUGUUGCACCUC
rnacentral:rRNA from 1 species